GAUGAACGCUGACAGAAUGCUUAACACAUGCAAGUCGAUGGGGAAGUGGUGCUUGCACCAUGGUAACCAUGGCGGACGGGUGAGUAACGCGUAAGGAACUUGCCUGCGGGACUGGGAUAACAGCAGGAAACUGCUGAUAAUACCGGAUAAGGUCAUUAAGCUGCAUAGCUUAGUGAUGAAAGGAGACGCCUGCGGAGAGCCUUGCGUCCUAUUAGCUAGUUGGAGGGGUAACGGCCCACCAAGGCGAAGAUAGGUAGCCGGCCUGAGAGGGUGGACGGCCACAAGGGGACUGAGAUACGGCCCUUACUCCUACGGGAGGCAGCAGUGGGGAAUAUUGGACAAUGGGGGCAACCCUGAUCCAGCAAUUCUGUGUGCACGAAGACGGUUUUCGGAUUGUAAAGUGCUUUCAGCAGGGAAGAGGGAAGUGACGGUACCUGCAGAAGA
rnacentral:rRNA from 1 species